GACGAACGCUGGCGGCGUGCUUAACACAUGCAAGUCGAACGGAUAUCACUGAGGAAGCUUGCGAAUUAGUGAUGUUAGUGGCGGACGGGUGAGUAACGCGUGGAUAACCUGCCCUAAAGACCGGGACAACACCGGGAAACUGGUGCUAAUACCGGAUGUGCUCAAUGAGUGACAUCGCUUAUUGAGGAAAGGUGGCCUCUGAAAAUGCUACCGCUUUGGGAUGGAUCCGCGUCUGAUUAGCUAGUUGGUGAGGUAACGGCCCACCAAGGCGACGAUCAGUAGCCGGCCUGAGAGGGUGAUCGGCCACACUGGGACUGAGACACGGCCCAGACUCCUACGGGAGGCUG
rnacentral:rRNA from 1 species